UUCAGCUGCUGCUUAAAUGUUGAUGCUGUUCCUUUUUCAUGAAUAUUCAUCAUUACUAGAAUGGACAUUCAUACUUUGCAAAAGAGGAGUUGGCAGCUUUUCAUAUAGAAUCUUGACUAAUGAAAAAGUACCAAAAACUUUUUAAAGAAUAUGAAGAUUUGUGAUAAUAUUAAGCAAACAGGUUUUUGCUGCAACAUCAUUCGGAAGAGUCUCUUAAUUGAGAUAAGCUGUAUAUUCAAGUAUUCAGGAUUAGCUCUAUGAAACUGAUAGCUGAAAAAUCUGCAGAAACUGAUGUCCAAAUACAUGAAUGGGCAAAAAUGAAUAAAUAAAAAAAGUCCUUAAUUUUGUGUGGCUUACAAUUAAAGAGCAUGAAAGGUAAUAUAGCCACCCCCUUAAUAUAUAUAUGUAAGCAUUAUUUUAUGUGAAGCAGAAUGCAGGUCGAAGACAUAAAUGAAGACUUUUUACAUUUUUAAAAUUAAUUUAUUCAUUUCGGGAAAGCAUAAUUAUUUGCAAGCAGAGACGCGGACAAAGCAUGUCCUCCACAGUGCGGCACAAAAGCAGAAGUCGAAAAAGAACAAAAUAAAUUAUCCCUCGUCUUAUAUAACCUGAGAUUUUGAUAGGGAAAAUAUUUCUUCAUAGUGCUAAUAUAUUAAUAAGAUUCUGAUGGGGAUUUCUGAUGCAUGUCAAUCACAAGUAAGGGAAACACAGGGAUCUUUUAAAAAGAAUGUGCUUACUGGACAUUUUCUAUCCCUUCAUGCGGAGUGUGUGAAUGUGUGGGCAUUUAGCCGAUUCAGCAAUUUAAUAAAGCUUCUCUUGAAUUAAUUAAAUAGAGAAAGUGGAAUUGGAUCACGGAAUAGGAUAAUAUUUUAGAAUGAAGUUAGUAUGGGCUAAAUUAAGAUAAAACCUUGGAAAUUAAUUAAAUUGAAAUUAGAGUUUAAA